rnacentral:misc_RNA from 1 species
GUUUUUUAAUAAAAACUAGAAUGAAAGGUUAUACAUUCAAAUUUCUUUAUUAAUUUUUAAUAAAUAAUUUAUAUUAAAUAUAAAAAUAUAUUUAUAAAAAAAAAAGACGACAAGACCCUAUUAAAUUUUACUUAUAGUUUAGCUGGGGAAGCUUUUCAAUUAAAAUUUUUUAAAUUAAAUAAAUAAAAAUCUAAUAAAAUUAAAAUUUUAAUAAAUUACUAUAGGGAUAACAGCAUUAUAUUUUUUAAAAGUUCAUAUUAAAAAAAAUGAUUGUGACCUCGAUGUUGAAUUAUAUUUUCUAUAUUAAAUGCAAUAAUUAUAAAAGUAGAUCUGUUCGAUCUUUAAAAUAUUACAUGAUUUGAGUUCAAACCGGUGUAAACCAGGUUGGUUUCUAUCUUUUUAUAUAUUUUUCCAGUACGAAAGGACAAAAAAAUUUUUAUUUUAAUAAAUUAGCAAAUAAAUGCAUUAGAUUUAGAAUCUAAAUAUAUUUAAUAAUU